rnacentral:rRNA from 1 species
AUUGAACGCCGGCGGCGUGCUUAACACAUGCAAGUCGAUCGGUAACGCGGGGGCAACCCUGGCGACGAGAGGCGGACGGGUGAGGAACGCUUGGGAAUCUGCCUAUCAGCGGGGGACAACACGGGGAAACUCGUGCUAAUACCGCAUACGCUCUACGGAGGAAAGCCGGGGACCGCAAGGCCUGGCACUGAUAGAUGACCCCAAGCCGGAUUAGCUAGUGGGCGGGGUAACGGCCCCACAAGGCGACGAUCCGUAGCUGGUCUGAGAGGACGAUCAGCCACACUGGGACUCAGACACGGCCCAGACUCCUACGGGAGGCAGCAGUGGGGAAUAUUGGACAAUGGGGGAAACCCUGAUCCAGCGACGCCGCGUGGGUGAAGAAGGCCUGCGGGUUGUAAAGCCCUUUCGGUAGGGACGAAAGCUCUCGACCUAACACGUCGGGAGGUUGACUUAACCUACAAAAGAAGCACCGGCUAACUCUGUGCCAGCAGCCGCCGUAA